GAUGAACGCUGGCGGCGUGCCUAAUACAUGCAAGUCGAGCGAACAGACGAGGAGCUUGCUCCUCUGACGUUAGCGGCGGACGGGUGAGUAACACGUGGAUAACCUACCUAUAAGACUGGGAUAACUUCGGGAAACCGGAGCUAAUACCGGAUAAUAUAUUGAACCGCAUGGUUCAAUAGUGAAAGACGGUUUUGCUGUCACUUAUAGAUGGAUCCGCGCCGCAUUAGCUAGUUGGUAAGGUAACGGCUUACCAAGGCAACGAUGCGUAGCCGACCUGAGAGGGUGAUCGGCCAAACGGGAACGAGGACACGUCCCAGACUCCUAGGGGAGGCAGAAGUAGGGAAUCUUCCGCAAUGGGCGAAAGCCUGACGGAGCAACGCGGCGUGAGUGAUGAAGGUCUUCGGAUCGUAAAACUCUGUUAUUGGGGAAGAACAAAUGUGUAAGUAACUAUGCACGUCUUGACGGUACCUAAUCAGAAGGCCACGGCUAACUACGG
rnacentral:rRNA from 1 species